rnacentral:rRNA from 1 species
UACGUAGGGUGCGAGCGUUAAUCGGAAUUACUGGGCGUAAAGCGCACGUAGGCGGCUUUCUAAGUCGGGGGUGAAAUCCUGGAGCUCAACUCCAGAACUGCCUUCGAUACUGGAAAGCUCGAGUCCGGGAGAGGUGAGUGGAACUGCGAGUGUAGAGGUGAAAUUCGUAGAUAUUCGCAAGAACACCAGUGGCGAAGGCGGCUCACUGGCCCGGUACUGACGCUGAGGUGCGAAAGCGUGAGGAGCAAACAGG